CCAACCUCUAAAUUCAUCAUCAAUCCCUAUUCUUGUUAUCAAAUUUCAAAUAGGGACGAAUCCAUCGAGGGUUUCUCAAACACUUGCCAUUCAAGUCAAUACAAAAGUCUAUUUUGCUUGAUACCCACAUCAAUACAUAUACUCACUACUAUGGAAUAGAAUAUAUAUAUAUACAUCUACAUCUAUACACACACUAAAACACGCACAUACAUACAUAUAUAGUUAAUUAUACAUGGGUGUUGAGGCGGGGUCUGAUACGGCGGUUCAAGAUCAAGAAUCAAACCCUCCUGCUGCUGCUGCUGCUGCUGCUGCUGUUGUUGUUCCGGUUGAGACUGAAUCAGACAUGGCUAAAACUUCUACUUCUUCAUCUGAACCUGCUCCUUCUUGGUUCACACCUAAAAGGCUGCUUGUGAUAUUUUGUGUGAUCAAUAUGGUAAAUUAUGUGGACCGAGGAGCGAUUGCUAGCAAUGGUGUAAACGGGAGUGCAAGAGUUUGCACAGAAAGUGGUGUAUGCUCCCACGGUAGUGGAAUUCAGGGUGAUUUUGACCUAAGCAAUUUCAAAGAUGGUGUGAUUUCUUCGGCUUUCAUGGUUGGACUUCUUGUGGCAUCUCCGAUAUUUGCAUCCUUGGCCAAGAGCAUCAAUCCCUUUAGGCUUAUUGGAGUUGGAUUGUCGGUCUGGACUUUUGCCGCAGCUGGCUGUGGGAUUUCAAUUGAUUUUUGGUCCAUCACAAUCUGCCGAAUGCUAGUUGGUGUUGGUGAGGCUUCUUUCAUUAGUCUUGCAGCUCCAUUCAUUGACGAUAAUGCUCCAGUUACUCAGAGAACAGCUUGGCUGGGAAUAUUCUACAUGUGCAUACCGACUGGAAUUGCCGUUGGUUAUGUUUAUGGUGGAUGGGUCGGAAAUGGCCUCGGUUGGCGCUAUGCAUUUUUCGGUGAGGCGAUUCUGAUGCUGCCAUUUGCUAUUUUGGGUUUUGUAAUGAAGCCUUUGCAAAUGAAAGGUUUUUCUCCUGCCGGAUCGAGAAAACCAUUUACAACUCCGGAGACCAACGUUAUAGAAGUUGAAGUUAUUACAACCGAUAAAGAUGUCCCAGUGUUGGAUCGUAGCUCAAACAAACCUUCCAGAUCUGGUUUAUUUAGAUUUUGGCAAGAUAUGAAAGCGCUUUUGCUUGAGAAGAUAUACGUCGUCAACGUUCUAGGUUAUAUUGCAUACAAUUUUGUCAUUGGUGCGUAUUCAUAUUGGGGACCAAAGGCUGGUUAUAGCAUAUAUCAUAUGAGCAAUGCCGAUCUAUUGUUUGGAGGAAUCACGAUUGUGGGUGGAAUUGUUGGGACAUUGGCAGGAGGUAUUAUCUUGGAUCGUAUGAACUCCACGAUCCCGAAUGCUUUCAAGGUUUACGUUUGUCUUCAGAUCUUCACUUCCGACAAUAUUGUUAUUGGCGCUUCUUUCCACGACAACUUUUCUUGGCGCGAUAUUUUGCUUCAGUGCGUUUUGUUUCAAGAACCUGUACGCUUUUAUGGUUCUCUUUCUCAUCGGAGAGAUACUUGUAUUUGCCACUCAGGGUCCGGUGAAUUUUGUGUGCCUCCAUACUGUUAAACCAAGUUUGCGUCCGUUAUCUAUGGCUAUGUCUACCGUGGCAAUUCAUGUCUUCGGUGACGUGCCUUCCUCUCCUCUCGUUGGAAUUAUUCAGGACAACAUCGACAACUGGAGGACAACUGCUUUGAUCCUAACUUCAAUACUGUUUUUGGCAGCUGGGAUAUGGUUUAUAGGCAUCUUUCUUCACAGUGUGGACAGAUACGAUGAAGAUAAAGAGCUUCCCGAUGCCACUGUUGAGCGAUCAAACACCACACCGCUGCUUGAGGACGAGACGACUGAAACAACUGCUGUGUCUGCUCAACUGUGAAUUCGACAGCAUCUUUAACUCCGACUUAAGUAAUUUCUUUUAACACGUAGUAAAUGUACAGCCUCGCUAGCUUUUUUCGUCUUUUUUUUACCCUAACGCGGUUUUUGUUUGUAAGUAUUUUCAUUUUGAGCAUAGGCAGUAUUUCAAAUUUGUCCAUAGUUAAAGUAUACAAGAUUUCUGCAUGAGACCUUUUGCAACUAAUGGAGGGAUCUCAAGGCUUUGAUGUAGGAAAGACAAUAUUAUGUUGGUAACCACUUUGUCCCUAUUGCCUUUGGC